CGGGGAUUAGCGCAGUUGGCUAGCGCGUCUGGUUUGGGACCAGAAGGUCGUGAGUUCAAGUCUCACAUCCCCGA
rnacentral:tRNA from 1 species